rnacentral:rRNA from 1 species
UACAGAGGGGCAAGCGUUAUUCGGAAUUAUUGGGCGUAAAGGGCGCGUAGGCGGCUUUGCAAGUGGCGGGUGAAAUCCCUCGGCUUAACCGAGGAACUGCCUGUCAAACUGCAUGGCUUGAGACCAGGAGAGGUGAGUGGAAUUCCCAGUGUAGCGGUGAAAUGCGUAGAUAUUGGGAGGAACACCAGUGGCGAAGGCGGCUCACUGGACUGGUACUGACGCUGAUGCGCGAAAGCCAGGGGAGCAAACGGGG